GGAGGCCUCAGCUCACAUUACAGCGUCACCACUUACCAGCUUUGCAUACGUUUAAGCAGGACUUUAAUUACUAUGUCAUCUCCCAGCCAACUUGCCCAAGGCAGACGGGCAGAAAAGUCCACAUCUCAGACUCUCUCGUGCUCCUCUCCAGACCCAAGGCCCUGCUCCGUAAGUGAAGCCCCUUGUGUCUUUCUGACUCGGAUGCAGAAGUCAGGAAACAACGCCUGUGGUCAUCCCACUCAGGGGCCUCCCAGGGAUGACUGCAGGGCAGGGCUUCUGGGGGCGUCCUCCUAUGGGGCCCUCUUCUUGAUGCCUGGCCAGACCUGGAUCUU